rnacentral:tRNA from 1 species
UCUGUUGUCAUCCAGCAGUUAGGAUAUCUGGCUUUCACCUAGGAGACCCGAGUUCGAUCCCCAGCAAUGGAA